UUGUUGAAAAGGUGAGGGCAAUGUAACACGUAUAUUAUGCAUAAUUUUUUUCUUCUGAAAAUUAAAUUUCACACACACGAUAGCAUAUCAAAUUUCAAUGCUUUACCUAGUUUAAUUACUCACUGUCAUCAAUGUUGAAGUUUUUGAAAUAAUAAAAAAUUGCUUUAAAUGACUUGAUGCAUGAAUUUUCAUGAAUUAUUAUGUAACUUUCACAAUAAUUUGGAUUCAAUAUAAUGGUUUAAAUUUUUCGCUGGGUUCUUUUUUUUCGUUUCUCUUCAUGUUUAUUUAAUUAUAAUUUGCAAUCAUAGAUUUGAGUUCGGUUUUCUAGGUUUCAAAAUAAUGUGACUGUGCUUAAAUUUUCUGACUGUCUUACUACUCGUAAUUGAUGGUUAAAUAAACCCAUUGUUUGCAAUGACAAUCUUCCAUUCAGUAAUAAAUUCCACAUUCAUUACAAAACAAAGUAUUCAAGGAAAUAAUUUACUAGCAGUAAAGACUAAAAAAUUAAAAUAAAUGGAAAACAUUUAUAUUAUUAAUUUGUAAGUAACAGUUGUCUCUAAAGACUGAUUAAUUUCAACAACUGCUACUGUUCUUUUAUGUGUAACAUAAGUCAGUGUACAUUGCAGAAGUUUUAAACAGCGUCAUCAAUCUAAAGAUCUCAUUUUUAAAACAUAAAUCUACGCAAUAAAAUCUUUGAUAAAUACUGCGACUAUAACGUAUCAUAAAUAAUCUCUUUGGAUAGUCAAAAAAUAAAUAACAAUAUUCUGAUAACCUCCCAGAGAAAACGGGCACCCAAAUUAAGAAGGAAAACGUAAAAGUAAAAGUAAAAGGCGGGUAACAGAUGCGUCCACCGGGCGCGGGAAGAGCCGAAGAGCGGGUGCCGGGUGAAGGGGUCGCCAUGGACGGAGGCGCUUCGUUCGUCCGUCCAUCGAUUCGUUCGUUCGCUUGGGCCUUCAUUCGUUUCGUUCGUUCGUCUGUCUUUCGGGCUGUGUGUGUGUGUAUGGGGGUCGGGUCGUGAUCCUUCGUGACUGUGUGAGUGUGAGUGAGUGUGUGCACCUUGCCUCGCAGGAUUCCAGUGGCGCUGGUGGUGGUGCUUUGUUGCGGAGCCAUUACCAUUACUACCCCCCACUCUCCCCUCGCCGCUGCCAUGUGAGGCGUAGUCUCCUGCUGGGGCGACGUUCCAGGCCAUCCCCUCCUCUUUCGCAGUAGUGCGACACUCUUGCAGUGAGUGAGUGAGUGAGUGAGGGAGGGAGAUCACCACCCACACCCCCUGCCAGGUUGGGCGUCUUAAGCUCCUUGGGGUGUGUGUGUGUGUGUGUCUAUGUGGGCGCGAGUGUUGCUUCUCUUGUAGAAGCUUAGUAGCGUUGUCUUGUAGCGGUUCCGUAUCGAAUUUGUCUUCGCCCUGGCGCGCAAGUAGCAGGAUACUCCUUGGUUAUUUAUUUAUUUUUAUUUAUUUUUUGAUUUUUGACAUAGUUCGCAAGAGUUUCGAGGGCGAUACGAUAUAAGUGCCUUUGGGUGGCAUGGCUGUGCUGUACUUAGACGGGGGUAGAUGUGCCUGGUUAGGUGGUGAGGAUCGCACCGCGUUCAGGUGUUGUGUCUCUGACCCAGAGCUGAGUCUAUAAUGCUGAAGAUGUUGGGUUUUGGCGGAUCGAAGGGUGGUUGGGCGAGUUUCGGAGUUGUAGUAGGGUGUAUCAGUGAUGUGGGUGCCUGUUCGACCUCUCAAGUCAUUUGCUGAAGGAGCCCAUGCGUGUAGGUGAUGUGUGAGAGACAAGCGUAAGAGCGGUCACUUAUUGAUCGCGUCCCGCGUGGGGUCAGCUGGGAUAUGGACUGUGGAAGCUGUUCUCGAGUGGUUUUCUGAGGGUAGGGUGGCAUGGUCUAGGUGGUGAUGGUGGUUUUUAUCUAUUAAUCUUUCAAGUGUCAGUUUUUCUCGGGUGGGCGGUAGGGUGAGUCAGUGAGUGAGUGGGCAUGGAGGUCGCAUUCUCUUUUCUCCAUGGAGAUGCUAGCAUGGCUUGUGGCGUGUGGAUAUCGAAUGAAAGGAGCGCUUGCGUGACGUAAUGAUUAGUACAUGUGAGAGUGGGUGAAGAGUGAGUCGGUGCACACAACAGGAUAUAGGGUUUUCAACCUGCCAGGUGUGUUCCGUGAGUUGGCUUAGCAUGGAGCUUACGCAUGUAAUGGUGGCAGGUAUGUACAAGAACCAGCUUCAAGAGCUUGCUCAGAGGAGCUGCAUUAAUCUGCCUGCUUAUGCUUGCAUCAGAGAGGGUCCCGACCAUGCACCGCGGUUCAAGGCGACGGUGAGCUUCAAUGGGGAGAUUUUCGAGAGCCCUAAUUACUGCAAUACGCUGCGGCAGGCAGAGCAUGCCGCGGCUGAAGUGGCUCUCAACACCCUGUCGAGGCGAGGCCCGUCGCAGUCGUUGGCAGCACGCAUCCUCGUGAGUUGCUCAGUCAUUCUAGUUAAUCUGCAGUUAAGCCAUUGCUGUUUGUGAGAUUGCGACUUUGAGCAGCUGGGUGUAGGUUGAGUGCUUAGUUGGCUGACGUGUUCCUUGCAUGGAAUGCAGGAUGAGACGGGUGUGUGCAAGAACUUGCUACAGGAAACCGCUCAAAGAGCUGGCGUCUCUCUUCCUGUGUACAGCACCACUCGAUCCGGUCCAGGACAUCUACCCGUGUUUACAUGUACAGUGGAGUUAGCGAAAAUGACUUUCAGCGGGGAAGCUGCAAAGACAAAGAAGCAAGCGGAGAAGAAUGCGGCAAUGGCUGCAUGGUCUGCUCUCAAGCAAUGUAAGUUGCUCUUCUACAGCACGCUUCUCUUGCAUUCUAGCUUUAUGGGGAGCAAGGGGUAUUGGGAGCAUGCUGCUUCUGGUUGACGGCAGUAUUAUUAGAGCAUGUAUUCGAAUUUUUCAGGCAACUGCAUACGAGACCGAUGUUUUAAAUGGUUUCCGAGAUUUAAAUUCAUUUUUUUACGUUUUUUUUACGUUUUUUUUUUUUUUUUUUUUUUUUUUUGUGUGUGGCGGGGUCGUGUCCCGGGGACAAUUUAUUAACUUAGUCUACACCGCCAGCAUAAAUUAUGUGUUCGAAAUGCGCACUGUCUAAAAGGUUACUUUGUGUUCGUACACUUCUGUGUUCUCAGUUGCGAACCAAGGGAGAAGUGUGUCACUGGCGACAGAUGCAGAAGUCAGUGAGGAGCAGGAGCAGAAUACGAUCGCUAAAGCUUUGGCUCAGCAUUUUGGCAAAGAGGCGCAGCAAUUGCCUCAGAGUGUUCAGAAUCCGUCCUGCAGCGUGAUGCCUAUUAGGUUGAGAUCUUUGUCGUUGAGGGACAAUUUGCAGCCUGGGUCACCUCGCCUGAACCAAAGUCACUCAGGAACCUGGACACCCGAUCUAUCAACGGAGCAGCAGCAGCAGCGGCACAUGCGCAAUCACGGCCAUCCAAGCGUGGGCUCUGUUCCACCUCCUGCUUACCGCACUGUUGGUCCAUCGCGGGUAGGUUCGUCGGUCACGAUCCGGGAUGUUUCGGCCAUGCGAGAUGCUAUGAUGGCGAAGAAAAUGGUUGAAAGAGCAAUGGGGGCCAAUUUUGUUGGGCGACACAGCCUCGUGAAUCUUCAGUCGGUGCCUUCGAUGCGUAGGGAUAGGCACGAGGUGGCUGUGCCAUAUGACGUUCAUCAGCGGGAUGAGGAUGAAUGGCUAAGAGGGGACACUUCGAAGGCCAGUAGAGAUGUCGAUAACCGGAGCGAUUCUCUGGAGAAGGAGCAUGGAGCGUCUGCGGUUCACGGGUCGUACAAUCCCAUGUCUUGGUCAGGAACUGGUGGACCCAACUGGUGGAAUACCAUGCACCGACCCGCAAUGUCAAGUGCGUCUAGGAAGACAGCUAUGCCAGUAGUGUUACGCCCAGCAGUAAUGGUGUGUGCGGCACCGCCGCGUCGUCCAGAACCUGAUGGUGCAGAGAAUGAGGAUGAAGCGGCAUCACGCCAGGUGCUUAGUCAACGGAGCUUGUGAAAAAACUUGGUUAAGCGGCUGAGUAAUUGGAUAUGAAACAGAUGUGUAGGUCAGUCCAAGUGACGUACCAUCUCUCUGGAUGGAUCGUCCACCUGCUGCUGCAUUGCGGUGGAUAUUCCAUCCUUUGAGAUGGGAUCCCCUGUAUGCAUAUAUUCACAUAUUUUUAUAUAGCUAGAUAUCACAUAUAAACUUACGGAAUGUGUGUUGUCUUUGUUGAGAGCAUGUCCCUACCCAUGGGAGUGGUUAUGUGAGGGUCAGGGUCCAUUGCAUGGAUUUCUGGCACCAGAUUUUGUUCGAUUGAUUUUUUGAAUAAGCGCCCCCUAUAUUUGCCUGCUCUUGUGGAAGAGACAAUUAAUGCUGAUCGAGGUUUCAUGGUGAAGCUAGGUUAUUCUGGUGGUGACGAGGGAGAGAAUAUUGAUGUGACGCGUUAUGUCUGGAUGGUUGAGAUUGGGCUCGACAUGUUGGGCGAAAAUGUCGAAGCUUUUAAAUGCAGUAGAACAUUUACAGGCCCUGCUUGGGGUGAGUGCCCGGGUUUAGCAGGCGGAGCGGAAUCAAGAGGCUCAGGGUGAGUAAUUUUACCGCAAGAAGAAUAAACUUUUGUUCCCUGGUGAAGAUCGAGAUAAUCAUGGUACAUUGUUUGUGUUAACGAAUGUCAGCAUCAUCUCAAAGGACGCACUACUCUCCACAGUUGGUGCUGCGUGAUGGAUUUGUCGCUCAGUGCAGGUAACGUUGUGGGAUCAUGACUCGCUCUCCAUGUUUAGCCCAACCGUGGCACAUCAGCCAGAGCUCAGAGGGGUACACCUUUCAAAAAACCGAUCGCUAGAACGCGCCACGAACAGCGAGUGGAUGAAACGAGACCGCCAUCUACCACACACACCCUUCAAUAAUUGCUUCAUAGUUCCGAUCUGACAUAUCAGGUGGGUUAAGUGCCAGGAGAUUAAUGCUGGCAGUUGUGCCAUCCACAUCACUCGUACCAGAGACGUCCCGCUUGUGAUAUAUAAUUGCUCGCUCGCUUCUUGAGCCUGCGACUGCGUUGUGGGCCGUCAACGUUCCCAUUCCCACCCCUUUAUGUGGCUUUAUGGUGAUAGAUCUUCACUCCGACUCGUGCUGUACAUCUGCACACGGAUCAGAGUUUGUGAUGGAAACCUUAGUGCAGCUUGCAAUGUACCAGAGUGCUACUGUAUUGCAAGCUGUUAGUCCAUACGAACCCAAGAGCUUGUUAUACACUCCCACAUUCGGAGCUGAACAAGCAGAUUCAGUAGCAGUUUCAGAGGCACCAUGUGUUUCUCAAUCUGCUGCUUGGCUUCCUGUUGAGGCAAUGCUGUGGGUUUUAGGGCCAUUUUUUUUAAUGCUCGUUCCAUGUGUGUGUACAGCACUCAGUUGAUAUUGAGGGUGUGUGCUCUGGUUUCUCUCCUGCUUUUGGUAAUACUCUUGCUUUUGAGACAGUUCCUCUGAAACUCAUAUUUGUCUUAUUAGUUUUGAGUAUAUCUUUCUUAAAUUUCAUGCGCACUCUUGUUCAUACUCCUCUGUUUACGGGUAGCUGGACGUUAACUAUGAGUUGACUAUAAGAAUGAUAAAAAAACUAAAUGCCUUAGAGGAAGAAAAGACACAAAACGGUUUGCUUUUAAUGUAAAAAAAACCCUAAACUACAUUGUUCAAAACUGAGUGUUUUAUGUACAGUUAAUACAGUUUGAUUAAGGAAACACACGUUAAAGUUGUACAAGAAUUAAUAUUUUGGAGAUGGGUAAGUAAAGAAAGAAACUUAUGCAUAUCGGUUUUUUGCAUGAAAAAACUGAACGGAAAAGAUUGUGCGGUAAAAAUCAAGAAUAAUUUACAUAAAAAUAUCUAAUUUUUUUAAUUCGUAGCAUACAACCUACCAUGCUAAGUAUAAACUCUAUAAAAAUAAGAAAUCAGGUUUAAGUAUAUUUUAAAUAACAGUAAAAUGAAUACAUACAUAUAUAUAUAUAUAUAUAUAUAUACUUGACGAUUAUUUUAAAGCAUAAAAUACAGAUAAGAAUUCAUAAAAUAACAUGGAAUAAUUAGCAUUGAUAUCUUCAAAUAUAAAAAAAGAUAAAAUUAAUGUUCAGAAAUUAAUCUCAUUACCUUGAUCAAGAAACAAAAAAAAUUAUAAUGAUAAUAUUAACUACUAAUCUCCAAUCCAAUUGAAACAUUUUUGUUUAGUAAUUUUUAAUUUCUCCACUCUUCCUUAAAUUUCAUACGUUCAUUAAAUGUACUUACAAAACUGUAGUGUAUGACAAUACAAUACUGUAUAAUAACAGGUAAAUUGUUUAAGGAUACGUAAUUUUUGGGAGAAUUUAAAAUAUAUUUUAAUUAAUAAAUUUUUGAAAAGAAGAUGAAGAAGAAGACUUUUAUUUCAUUUUUUAUUUUUUUUAUUUUAUUUUUUUUCAAAACUCAAAAACUCUUCUAGCAAAGAUAGUGUAAUAUAAAACUAUUUACCUUAUUCUUUCACUUGCUUCUUUUAAACGUUUUGAUUUGAUAUCUAAUAAAAAUAUCUUUGAUUGAUUUAUAAAGAUUUUAAAAUAAAUAUAUAUUAUUCCAAAUCAAUAAACAAAGAAAAAAAAAUCUAGCAUCUGAUGUCCACUUUUUUACAUUAAUAAAGAUCAUAAAAUAUUACAGUUUUUUUAGAUUAAAAAAAAAAAGUAUAUAAAAAAUAGAUUUCAGUCUUCUAUACAAAAUAUACUUCCAAUAGCAAAAAGACUUUAUUUUAUGCUUUGAAAAACUUGAUGUUACUUAUUUUUAAUAAACAGAUUACAAAAAAUAAAUGUAUAAAAAAUUAGUGAAAUAUACUUUUUAUAUGAUCAAUAACCUUAUAAUAUCCUAGUAAAAUCUAUUGGUAAUAACUAAAUUACAAGACCAAAACUAAAAACAUAUCAUAAAAGGAUUUUGCUAAUGCCACCACAAUUUUUGCCACUAUUGCCCUGUCUUCCUACUUGAUCAGCACAAGUUAUUAGAUUUUUUUACCCUAAUUUUAAAUUUUAUUCAUAAUAUUUAAAUAUUUAAUAUUUUUUAAUUAAAUUGAAAGUGACUUUUACUUGAACUAAACUAAAUCAUAUACUAAUUAGAAUAAGUUUAUACUAAAAUUAAAAAACAUAUAUUUUUAUAUUUAUAAAACUAAAAAUAUAUAAAUCGGAAUAAAAAAAUAUAAAAAAUUAUUUGAGAUAUUUAUAUUUUUUUAUUUAACAUUAAUAAAUGGUAGAUGUUAGAUUUUGGUGAUAGUAGCAAAAACUAUGGUGGCAUGUGGUUGAUGAUAAAAUUCAAUGGUAGAAGCAAAAAUUAUGUUGGUAUUAACAGUACCUAAUAUAGAUGAUAUUUGAGUAUAUUUUAUCAACAAUUCUUACAGUUUAAGAUAAAUAAAUAAUAAUUUUACUUAUAAUUAUUUAAUUUAAUAAUGAGCAAAGGUAUUAAUUGCAAAAAACAUACCAGUAAGGUUUAUUUUUAAUGUUUUUAGACUAUUUAAUUUAACUUUUGAUUGUUUAGCUCUAUAAAGAUUAUAUUUUGAAAUAUUUUUACUAAAAAAAAUAAUGUGACUUUACAAAUUAUUUAACACGUUUAUUAAAUUAAAAUGACCUUGUUUUGUUCAAAUCGACUUAUUUUGGAUAAUGUAGAAAUUGCACAAGUUACAUAAAGGUUACACUACACAUAUAUUAAUUCAAGUAGCAUAUAUUUAGUUUUUCUUUUAAAGCAAAUGUCUCGAAUUUUAUGAUUUGUGUUUUGAUUUUUUCUUUUUAAUAUAUCAAAUUUACCUGGAUUUAAUCAUUUAGGAAAAACAUUAUAAAUAUACAUAAAAAAUAAAUUUAAUUAAUAAAGUUUAAGCUUGAAUUUCUCAUUAAUGCAAAUAUUAAUACAAUAUCUCUAAGAGGAUUUUAUUAAUUUGCAUUGUCUUAAUUUGUAUAAAUACCUAUACUAAUUUUAUUUUGUGUUAUUCUCAAAAUGUGAUUUCUACAACACAAAUUUAUAAUAACAAUUAAUAUGGAUCCAUGUGGUGCUGAGUAAAUUAUCAAAAACAUUAUUUUAGAAAAUUAACUACACAUUAUUAAAGAACAUUCAUCAAAGAUGCAAAUCAGAUAUAUGACCAGUUUUUUAGGGACAUCCAUUUCAUCAAAAAAAUUAAAGAAUAAAACAUUUAUGCUCUUUAAUAAUAUAUAUAUAUAUAUAUAUAUAUAUAUAUAGAUGUAUGUAUAUAUAUAGAUGUAUGUAUAUAUAUAUAUAUAUAUAUAUAUAUAUAUAUAUAAUCCCUUUUAAAUCAUAGAAUAAAAAUAUAUUUUUACUAAUUAAACUUGUAAAAAAAAAUUAUUCUCCAAUGUCUAAAAACUAUUUAAUCUAAAACAAGUAACCAAUAUUUUUAAUGAAUCAAGAUUAGCUAUUUCAGGUUAAUGUCAUAAAUUCAAUUUUUGAUCCAUUUUUUAAAAAGAUAUAUAUAUAUAUAUAGAAGAAUGUUAAAUUUAUCUCAAUAGUAGUUAAAUUAAUCUACUCAUCAAAUCCACCAUUAUACAUCCUAAUGCCCCGUCUUAACCCCUCAUUUGUUGUUCUCCUUCCCAACCACCAUCCUUUAUUCAUGUUUCUAAUUUCCAACCAUUAUUUUUGGUUCUUAAUCCCCAUCUCUUGUUUCCAUUCCUAACCUUUGUUUUUCAUCCCAACCCUCCUAUUUUGAGAUUGUAUCUCCUGUCCCAACCCCCUCACCCCUCCCAUCUUUUUUUUCCAUUUUUAUACAACUUAAAAAAAGUGGAAAAAAUCUUAUAUAUAUAUUCUAAUAAAUAAAGUUAAAAACAGAAAUUUUUAUUUUUAAAUAAUAAAAUAAAAUAAAUAUUAUUAUUAAUUAGCAAAAGUUCUAACCAUGGUGAAGCAUAAAGUCAUGGUGUUGUUAUGUAUUAUGAAGGUUAAAUUAUUACUAUUCUAUUAAAAAAAAAAAACAUAAGCUUUAAAUGUGUUAUAAAAAUUGAGAUGAAAUGACAAUAAUACCAAUGAGAACAACAAUAAUAAUUCUAAUUCUACCUAAUAUCUUUGGCAUCUUUAGCAAUACAACUAAGAGUGCUUUAUAAUUUAGUAAUAUAUGGAGGUGAUUUUUGUCAAAAAGUUUUAAAAUAAUUCUUUAAAAUAUCAAAUUCUUUGUAAGUUCACAAUAUCAUAUGUGUAUUUAUUCUUUGUUUUCAUUAUAUAUUUUAAAAUAAUAUUGUUGAUAUUGAUUUAUCUAUUCUUAAAUAAAUGUUACUUUGAUUGAUUGGUUAUUUAAUUUUGCCAACCAAUAUAGACCUAAGUGACCAUACCAUUGAGAUUAUUCUUUUAUAAGAAGAAUUGUAACCUUUGUUGUUGGAUUACUUUCCAUAUACUUCUUCUAUUUCAUGUGCCAGAUUCCAUAACAAUGUUGUUGAGUUUGUCCUCCAAAAAUUCUUAGCACCCUUCUCUUAAUUAUGGAUGGUUGUUUUGGAUUGAUUUAACCUCUAUUAUUGUUACUUUUGUUAUUUUUCUUUUAUUCCUUUUUGUUAUAAAAUCAUUUAUGUGAGAAUACAAACAUACAAAUACUUAGUUUUUUAAAUGCAUGUAUUUUUUUUUAUAUUCAUAAAUAUAUUCUAUUAAAAGAAAAAAUACAAAAACAAACCCCAAGAAAACAAAAAAAUAUCACAAGAUACAAAGAAGGCCAAAAGACAAGCGUAUUGAGAAUAAUAAUUGGAAUAUAAAUUACAUUGAAGAAGAGGGUGCCAAGUGGAGGAUUGAAAGGGAGGAUGAGGGCUACAAAUGAGAAUGGAGAGUUAGGAUGGAAGGUACAAUUAUGGGUUGAUGGAUGAAUUGAUUUAUCCAUUGCUAGGAUUAAUUAAAUAUUUAACUAUAUAUAUAUAUAUAUAUAUAGAUAGUUAAAUAUUUGAGAAAACAAUAUUCUAUUGUAUUUUUUAUUUUAAUUUUUAAGUUAGUAAAAACUUUCAUUAUUGUCUUUAGAAUUUGUUAUCUAUAAUCUUUAAUGUUAUAAGAUUUAUGAAAUACAUGUAUUUAAUAAUGUACUUUAUUGUUAUCAAGUAAAUAAUUAUGAUCUCAAGUAUGUUUGUAUUUAUCUCAAAUUCAAUAUCAAAAACUAAUAGUUGAAAUAAUAUAUAUAUAUAUAUAUAUAUUACACAAUAAAAAUAUAUAAAUACUCCUAAAUAAAUUAUCUUUGUGUAUAUAAUUUCAUGUUUAUAUAUAUAUAUAUAUAUAUAUAUAAUUGUCUUUGUAACUAUUUGAAACUUUGAUUUUAAGAAACUUAUGAGAUAAUAAUGGAAGUAAGAGAAUUUUAAAAAAGAUAAAGAAUUUAUAAAUUUAAAUUUAUUCAUAAAUCGUCUAGCUCUUAAUUGUUAGAUUUAGAUUGUUGAUUCUUUUGAAAAGAUCAAGGGACAAUUUCUUCGAUGAAAAGUCAAUAUUAAUAAUUUAUUUGAAUAGUUAUAUCAAAUGGUUGCAUAGAUAUGUGAAGCUUUCAAAAAACAAAAAUAAAAUAAACAAAUAAAAAAUACGACAUAUGAAUUCUUAAAUAUAAUUGAAAAUAGUAUGAACUUAUUUCUCGAUAAGACACACAUGUUUUUGUAUACAUAAUGUGUCUAUUUAAAAAAUAAGCUUAAAUGUAUUUAUUACGUAAUCAAUAUAAUGCAGCAUUAAAUUAAUUACAUGAGCCUUGAAAAUAUUUCAACUGAGAGUGAUGUUGCAUUAUCUGAUAUUUUCAAAUACAUGUACUCUGUGACUUUGAUCGAUCAAUUCAAUGUUUAAAAUUAAAUGCAUAUGUAGCAGUUUAUAUUGAAAGUCGUAUUUAGUUACAGGGGGCAGAAUUAAAUCAUAAACUAUUUUCUGCAGAAACAAUUUGGAUUUUUGUAUGAUAAAGUUGUCUCCAGUAUAUGUUUUGUUCAUUCCUAUUCAAUAUUUUUAAAAUGCCCUUAAUGUUAUGGUGUACUACUCAAGAUGUCAUUUUCAUUCUUUGUUAGAAAAGAAAAAAAUGUAUAGAGAUUUUGCUCUAACACCAAAUUUGGUCUUGUAUCGUUAAACAAAUUUUGGAAAUAUGUGAUCUUUCCACAAUAAUAUUUUUAUAAUAUCCUUGUACAUACAUGUACAACUUUGAUCAAAAACAUUGUACUUUAGUUUAGAAUAAAAAUCCUAGAAAAUGAAGAAUCUAGAAAAUUUCAUAACAAUAUUAUGAUAUGAUUUUAUAACGUUAUGAAAUUAGGGAAUUAAAUCACAUUUGCAUGAUAUGAUUUUUGAUAAAGAAAUUUACACUGAAUAAACACUAAAAACAUUUGUUCAAAAUUUACAUGCCAUGUUAUUAAUGUAUAAUUCUAUCAUAAUAUAUCUAAUUAAAAGCAUUCAUAUUAAUUUGUAUAAGUCAUGAAUAUAUAUAUAUAUAUAUAUAUAUAUAUAUAUAUCUUUUUUUUAUCACUAGACAAUUUUUAAUAUAAGUUUGAUAUUCUCUACAUAAAAGACGCCUAGCUGAACUAACUUGAGUUUUUGAAUUCUAGUUUUUUAAAGUUCUGUAGUUGUACAAAUUCAAGAAUUUUAGACAAUUAUCUGCAAGAAUGAACUGAUAAUAAACUUUAUUCCAAUAAGUGUGGAUAAUGAAUUGUAGAAAAGAUUCUCAAGACACUGAAGACAAUGUUUAGUUGGUUUGGUUUUAUCUUAAAGUCAUAUAUAUAUAUAUAUAUAUAUAUAUAUAUAUUUAAUACCUUUGAUGGACAAAUUUAAAGAACUAAAUAAUGAAAUUACGUGAAUUUGAAAUUAUUUUACUUCAUUUUUUUAUUCCUAUAAGAAUUCAUCUUUUAAAUUUAUAUUUUUUAAAUUAAGAUUUAUUAGAAAUUGAAAUAAUUGAUUAUUCAGAGUAACAAACAACUUGCAAUUAUAUAUAUAUAUAUAUAUAUAUAUAUAUAUAUAAAAUGAAACUUUAAAAACAUUUCUACACUGUCUUAUGAGCAAUGUUUUCUAAUUUCAAAUUUAAAGGUUGAGGUAAAGUUUAAUAUGUUUCUUAUUCUUUUGUCAUAUUUGUAUCAUAAAUAUUGAGAGAUUCAACUUAUUUUAAUUUACAAUCAAUUAGAUCUCAUUCAUAUUGUGGUAGCUAUGUGUCUUUUUAUUUAUGUUAUUGUAUUUGACAGGUAUCAAACAACUAUUUCUAUGUUCUACAAUAUUAUUAUUAAUCUGCUGGUAUAAAUACUUAAAUAAAUAAAUAAAUAAUAUUUUUAUGAAACACUUUAAUACAGAGAAAAGAUAAAUGAAACAGAUGGGAAGAAGAUCAAUGCUUUUCAAUUAUGCGAAUCAUAUGAAUAAUUUUUGUUUUAAAUACUUGGUAAAAGACUUGUAAUUAAAGAAAUAGACUGUAAAGUAAUUUUUUUAGAAAUAUUUACAUAUCGUGUUAGUAAUUCAUUUCAAGGAAUUUGAUAAGAUUUAAAUUUCGAAAUUUCAAUUUAAUUUAAAAACUGAUAUAUUACAUUUUAAGGAAAUAAAAAAUUACUCUUUUUAAAUAUAAUUUGUAAUUAGUCAAUUCUUUAUUUGCAAUUUGAAAUUUCCUUGACAAUGAAAUAUGUGAAUUUCAAAUAUUUUUAUCAUGUAAAUUCUGGCCUUUAAUUCAAGAGUGAUGUUAGUCUAUUUUAUUUUGGUUUUCUCCAUAAAUCUUUCAAUAUUUAUAUACACAUGCAGAAAUGUCUAUCAAUUGUUGAGAUUUAUAUAACAAAACAUAUAUUCUGUAACAACAUCAAGCCAAAACUACAUGUUUUCUUAUUUUCAAAUCACAUGGUAUGUGAAGGGUUUUAAAAGAUUUUUUCUUCAGCUUAUUUCAAUUCUGUUUGUUUUUUUGUUUCUAUUUUUGUUUUUGUUUUUUGUUUUGUUUUGUUUCUUUUAAGAGAUAUUGGUUACAUUUGGGUGAUUUAAAAGCAGAUCACACCAUGUGCAAACCAUUUUUAUAAAGAAUGGUAUUUACUCUACAAAAACGUAAAAUAUUCAAUGUUAAAUUUAGACAUUACUCUAAUUUAUAUGUUAAUAUUCCAAUUUUAGUACUGAUAAGUUCUACACGUUUUAGAAUAAAAUGCUGCAUUCACUCCUGUUUGAAAUGGAUUUAAGAAACAAAGACAAAAAGAAAAGAAGCUGUAAAGAAGGGGGAAAAGAAAUAAAGGGAAAAAACUGUUGGAUUGCACCACAUUAGUCAAGUAAAUCAUCUCAUUAAUUUCCAACAUAUUUGUGAUACAUUACACAUUUUCUUUUAAAAAAAUAUAUUCCCACAUAUAAAUCAUAUAUUUUGAGUAAUAUAUGUACAGUUUCAAUGAGCACCCUGCCUACAACAAUUGUGUCGGUAUCCUGGUUGAAGGCGUAGAAGCCGCGGCGGUGGCGGAGUCGACGACGUCGGUAACGAAAGGAAUGCUUGCAAUGUCACGAAUUAAGGGCUGAAAUGGGCGAGCCAUGCAUUUUUCUGAACAAACUGCUCUCAAGUGGGUUUGAAGCAUCUCAUCGCAGUUGUGCAGCCUGUCGCACCGCAUUGCGAUGUGCACUGCCGAAUACCGACAGUUUCGACAGCGGGCCGCCGAUCGCGGAACCGUGGAAGGGGGAUGCUCCGGCACCAGAUCGGGUGACGCCGAAGGGAUGUGGCACGAAUACCCACUACCCUAAGCAUGGUGGCAUUCGAUUCCUGCACAAGAAUUGGAGUGAAGGGUGCCGCCCUUCACGGCUGAGUUGGGACCCCUCAUGCCAGCCCAGAGCUUUCUUUCUAUGCCGGUGCUUUGGUGUUCAUGUACCCCGCCUCGGUACCGUUGGGUUUGUGCUGGUCACCCUGGACUAUCUCGAUCGCACAUCUUAGGUGAUGCGGAUCAAUCACCGCCGAGAGGAAGCCGUUCGAAUUGCAAGUCAGUGGUGGUGCAGGGCCAUGGGCGGGAAGGCGUGAUCCGGCCUUGGACUUGCGGGUCGGAGAAGAUGCUUGCUUGCGAGGAGGAGGAGACCUGACUACGGAAGAGCGAGAGACUGCAUCUGCGUGGCGGAAAUUCGAGUAUGGAUGUUGGGUUUUGUCAAAGUAUUGGUCCCGUCGCGGAAUGCCGGUACCGGGUGACUCGACUGUGUAGCGAGCGUUUUGGGUAGUUGGCCGUCGGCCGAUUUGUGAAGGGUUUGGACGGUGACUUUCGUUCGACUUUGCUUACGCCAUUGUCGGAAUCGUGUCUUGCUGAUGUGGAAGGAAAUUCAUUGCACCUUGGACUUUACUUUUCUGCCUUUUGUUUCGCGGUAUCUAAGACUUGAAAAGUUUCCGUACAGGAUUAAUGCAACAGAGGCGGAAGAACACUCAUGAUCAUCGUCUUCUUGGUUUUCAAAUUAAAACAAGAAAGGAAAAAGAAUGAAUAAAUAAAUAAAAAGGAAAAAGAAAAUCAUGCUGAUUAGAAGGUCAUUAAUUGAAUCCGCUUGGGUUAAGGAUAGAACGGUACGUUUCCAAUGACGGUUGUGUGAUGCCAUAGUGCGGCCGUGUUGCUCCAAGAGCAGCAUUUGGUUUAAGACGAUGCAAGGAUCCUUCAUUAAGCCCCCAAAAGAUAAUCUCACUCGCCUCAUCCACCGGAAAAAAGCGCUUGGAUGUGUCUGCGCGCAAUGCAUUCCAGCGCAACGUGUCUUCCACACGUCCGUGCCCUCCCCACCACUUUCGUGCAUGUCGACUUGCAAAAUCUUGGGUUCGACAAAUGGGCUCAAGCGUGCGGGACCAGGUUUGAGAAUUCGAAAAUAGUCGGAUACGGAGGGUGUGGCGUCGAAGACAUUCCAAACAGGGCCAUUGAGAUUCUCGCAACGCCAGGGGCUCUCAGUGUUCUCCUCCUCCUCGCCAGCAAAGCUCCAUGAACAAAUAAUUCGCACCGUUUCCUCUCCCUUCCCGACAUGUAGCUUGGUUGUAGAGGAAGGAGGAGACCCAUACUCAGACGUUAGGACAGAGAACCUCGUUCCCAGUUGAGCAAGAACCCCUGUCGUGCUACAGUGGCUCAUUACAAAGAAAAGUAACACAAAGCAUUUUCUAUUUCCCGAAAAAAAACUCAUAUCAUCGAGAAUCAGUUGGCAUCCGUGUUCAUCGCUGUCUAUCUUACUCCUCCGCAUUCAUUAAUUUGUUAAAUUACAUGUUUCUAUUUUGUGGCUUGUCAAGAACAACUUCAAUUAUCAAUGACAAGGUGGCUCACAUGAAUGUGCAAGCAGCAAGCAAUUAGUGUUGAAUCCACGCUGCGUGUGAUUUGAAAGGUGGGAGGCCAUCACUCACAGAUUCCACGCACAUGUCUGAAUCAUAUGCCAAAAAUAGACUUUUUAUUUAUUAAUGUGCGUCACGCACAUCCAUCCCUAUGACCAUUCAUCACCGAGGUGGUGGUGGGGGACUCGGUUAAAUUUUUUAUUUGGCACUGAUAAUGGAGGGUGUCAAGCUCCCCUCCUAUGCCUCUUUGAAGGGAUUAAUUCAAUUCCGCAUGGCAAUUCCCAUAAGAUCCCUCAUCCCUUUUUUAAUUUAUUUAUUUUAUUUUUAAAGUUCCAAGAGGAUGCCCCUAUUUUUUAUUAUCACAAUUCCAACUUUGGGUGCAUUUUACUCAUGAUAACAAUAAACAAAAAAGGGACCUCCAGACAAUACCCAAUUGAAACAUGAUCUUUAUUGCAACACACUCCAAGAAAGGUGUGUUCAUUUCAAAAUAUAUUUCAAGACAAAUCAUGAAAUCGCAAUUUCCAAGUAAAAGUGUCGCCUUUAGGUGCUUCUACUUUGGCUCAUUGGUACAGAGAGCAGUCCAGCCAGGUUUUGUUCUCCUUUGCGGGGGCUUGACUAUCAUCAACGUUCUGGUGCACUAGAGUUUGAGUUGAACGUUUUCCAACACUUCUCCCACAUGCCCAUUCUCAUACCCUCCACCCCCACCCCCACCCCCGUCCAGCUAGCACUCCAUCCGUAGCAUUUGAAAGUUGGAGGUCGCUCACAAUUCCAGAACCAUCCAGCGGGAGAGUGAGUGAGUGAGUGAGUGAGUGUGAAGUAGUUUACGAGUUAAAGUGUGGAGGAGCUUAGUGACGCAUGGGUUUUGGCUGCGUUGAACUCCAGCAAGAAACGUUUAGGGCUGGGUUUGUGAGGUUUGUGGGCAUUUGGGUGGUGAGUGCAGGAGACAGCAGCUGAAGUAGACGUGAGUGAGCGGCAAGGGGCGCAGGGAUUGGGAGGUGAGAGAGAGGGUUUGAGGUUGUGGGAGGGGUGAUCGGAGGGGCUACACGCCGAAGAAUAGGAAAGGGGAGGACCAUAAGUAAGUAGCAUUAGGGGUGGUGGCACAGGAAGCAUCAGCAGCAUGUGAGGCAAGAGGAAGUGGGGAGUGGCACUAUGGGGGCGUCCGUGGACAGUGCACCUGUGCUCGCUGUGGUUAAAAUCCUAUGCGCUGUAUGUAGUCAGUGAGGGCGAGAGGAAAUAUAGGGUUUGCGAGGUGUACAUUUGGGUGGACGAGUUGGGGUGUAGUGAGCGUGGAGCAGUAGCUGGGAGAUUUAGGUGUGGGAGGGGUGGUGGGAGGGGUGAUCGGCGGGGGCGAUAUGCAGAAGAAGAAGAGGGGGAUGAGGAUAUGUAGCAAGCGGGGUUGCACUGGGAGUAUCAGCAUGUGAAGCAAGAGGAAGUAGGGAGCGGCACUAUGGGGGCGUCCGUGGACGGUGCACCUGUGCACGCUGUGGUCAAAUCUUGUGCGCUGUUUGGGUCACUCUUCGUGGUUCUUUGUGCACUCUCCGUCGUUAUUCUAGUUGCUGUAAAUUGGCGCCCCUGGCGGAUCUACAGGUACUUAUCUCAGCUGCAGCUUGUCUGUAUAUUGGUUCUUGGUUCUUUGGAUAGUUCUUUCACUCUCUGAUUCACACUUGGAUAUUGGGUUGCGGGUGAUGCCGAUGAACCUAGGAAUCAAUACCUAGGAGUUCUUAUUGCCAUCCGCUUUUGCUUGGAUUGGGCAGUUCUCAGCGGUUGAGUAGUUGGUCCUAUGCAAUCUUUCGUCCGAUAACCUAUGUUUCAUGAAUAGAUUAAGAUUUUACUGGCGAUUACAUUUCAGAGGUAUAUCUUAACACAGUGUAUGGAUUUCUCGUUUUGGCACAUACUGAAGGAUCCAAUUGAGCACGGCACUCUUCUCUACUGAUCACAGAUGGAGUAGAAAGUCGAGUGUAAUGUCGAGUAGUGGCUGCAAUCCUGUCAUCCUUACUCUUAGCUUAUAUAGGGCACGUAAUGCAGAGACGUGCAAGCUCAGCCUAUUGACAAUAGUGUUACCUGUCAUGGAAGACCGUUGCAACUAGCCUUAUAUUCUUGAAAUGAAAGAAAACAAUGAAUUACUUUGUAAAGUAGUGGUCUUGUUUAUUAACAUGAGUUUGCAAUCGUUUGACAUCGUGUAUCGAUGUCAACGCUUGUAAUUUAUAAAGUUAGGGAUGAAACCCAGCCACUGGUUACAUAGGAUCCUGUCCUUUCAUUAGAGUUAUGCCGAUUGUCUGCAUAACGUCGUAGGUGUUGUCGUGUGAACGACUGUAUUUGAUGCGCAUUGUUUGAUGCUUUCGUAGGCAGCAGUCAUUUCCCGACUUAUGACGAUUUAUACAUCUAUUGUUUAAAUACGCGACUAGAUACCCAUUAUUUGAGACAAAAGCGGUCAACAAGAGGUCUUAGUCAGCCUACGGCAAUUGAUGAUGGCUUGCGUGCUACAGAAUGUGAAUGAAACCUCCGUGCUUGUUUUACAGCUAGAAAGUUUCUGAAACAUACUUAGCAUGCCUCCUCACUGGCCAAGUUAUAAAAGUGAGAGUAGUUAUCGUUUGUUUUUCCAUAGCAGCCAUUCCUGCUGUUUCUGAUAUAAUUGUGCCAUGAAAUAGAUAUUUUAUUGCUUAGUUUAGUGUGUUUGUACGUCGUCUUCGUAUUUAAUGUGGAUUUCCCACAGCUUCUCUCAUCUCAUGUUGUGGAGUGUGAUUGCUCCUUGUUCUCCUUGUUGUAACAUCUCUCCCUGAUUAUUGCUGUCGUUGUUGCAGCUGGAUAUUUGCCCGCAGAUGGAGAUCGUUUAUGCAAGGCCAUCGGCUCAGCAUAAUUACAGCAGUACUUGCCGCAGCUGCAUGGACCAUAGUCCUGUCCCCAAUCGCGGUUCUUAUCUUGUGGGGAGCUAGACUCAUAAUUUUACUGAAUCAUGACACAAUCGGCCUUGCAGUGAUCCUGGCAGGCACAGCUCUACUGUUAGCAUUUUAUGCUAUCAUGCUUUGGUGGAGGACGCAAUGGCAAAGCUCACGUAUGUAUUCCAUUAGAUCUCAUUAGGCUACAUUUCUGAUCGGCUACAUUGUAAGUUCAUUUCUACAUUUGGUAGUACCCUGUUCUGGAUUGUUCUGAAGGUUUUAUUUAUAUGUUUUCUUGUCCUGCCCAUCCCAGGUGCUGUUGCAAUCCUGCUUCUUCUAGCUGUAUCGUUAUUAUGCGCCUACGAGCUUUCAGCAGUCUACGUUACAGCAGGACGAAGUGCUUCAAAUCAGUUUUCUCCAUCAGCUUUCUUUUUCGGGGUUUCAGCGAUCGCAAUGGGCAUUAACAUGCUCUUCAUAUGUAAAAUGGUUUUCAAUGGUGAGUAAUGGAAACUUGAUGCCAUUGUCGGCAGAAGUACAAUUCUUAUAAAUGGAAAGUGUCUUUGGUAAUGAUCGUCUGCACUUCACAGCUCUUGAUUUAGAUUUUUCCUGUUUCGGGUAAACAAAUCUUUUGAGUGUUUACCUAGCUUUCUGUGGCUAACAGUUCGAAAGUUCUGUUUACAGGGGCAGGGCUUGAUGUGGAUGAGUAUGUGAGAAGGUCCUACAAGUUUGCGCAUGCAGAAACGUUAGAAGUUGGUCCGAUUGCAUGCUUGCCAGAGCCUCCUGAGCCUCGCGACGCAAGCAUUCAGAGGAAAAGCAGGUGGUUCUUCUCUUGAUGUAAUUGUAUUGUGGUUGUGAUAUUUAUGAACUACUUCUUGAUUCCUGUCUUUCAUACGGUGAAAUUCCAUGUAAUCCUGCAUGUUUAUUUCUUCUGUACCCAUGUUUUGACAAGACAUCAGUUUUGAAGUGCAUCCAAGUGGUCUCCAAGUGUUAGAUUCUUAGAUAUACUGCAAAUGUUCAAGUUGGUGAAUUCUUGGGCUUGUUGUUUUUGAGCGAACCCGUGAUAGCGACGUUGCCUAGUGCUUUGCUUUUCCAAUUAUUAGUGGCUCUUGAUUUUCUUAGCUAGCGUGAGUGAAAGCCUUAGCUAUAAUCAGCAACUUACAGUUACGUCGCGAUCUCAGAAUUUUAAGUUUUACAGGGGAGGAAUCCCGAGGUCGUUUAACACAUUCUUGUAGAACCUAGUCUCAUCUCUUAUUGCUUGCAGUACAUGGCGGCUGGCCCAGUUAUAUCAAGCAUCUGUUGUGGUUCUGGCGGCAUAUUCAGUGCUGUAUGGACUGACAGCAAGGGAAGCACGAUGGCUUGGAGGAGUUACUUCGGCCGCUGUGAUCAUUUUGGGUAUGUUUUUUCUCAAUCAAUGACGAAUGCGCACCAAAAUUCUUUGAUGGAGUCUUUGUUCUUUAUACUCAGUUGUGUGCUCAGCUACUAGUUGUCUCGUUUACUUUCUUUAGAAGCAGUACUAUUUCAGUACUUGCUUAAGUAAUUUCUGUUUUGUAUGAGGUGGUUUUCUUAACGCUGCGUAGUAUUUUUUACAGUUCUUAACCAUGUAUCAUUUACUGUCAAUAAUUUGUACCUGGUGUUGUGGCCUCGAUCAUUUAUGAGGCAGAUCACGUACUCACAACGCAUUGGUUUCUCGUUGAAUACAGAUAUGAACAUAGGAGCUUGCUUGUUUGGUUUCAAACUCCUCAAGAGCCGCAUUGCAGCUCUCCUGGUAGCUGGGUCCUACAGAAUGAUAUUGAUCUGCUUUGGUGUACAUUUUUGGUAGGUCAUGCUUGUUUCGGUUUGUCUUUGUUAUCUCCAGAUUAUUAGGCAUGUUUUCAGUUGGAAUUUACAUAGAUGUAGGUGAUUAAUUUGCUAUUAACUCAAAGAUAUUCUGUGAUACUAGAAACACUAUACCAGGUCAUUUGGGAAUCAUGGCAGGUCAAUUUGAACUUGAGGGCUUAUGGAAUAUUUCAGGAUUUUAUUGUAUUAGUUAAGAACACCUCUUGAUCUAUGUUACACUAGAUUUGGUAGAGCAGUGUCAGAUUGACAUUAAAAUUGGAUGUCAACUUCUAUGAAGCAGGAUAAAUCGUGUUGUGUCUGUAUCUGCAUAAAUAAUUUUGGGUGUUUGCAGGUAUUUGGGCCACUGUGUAGGGUACUCCGUGGUCGCUUCUGUGUUAUUGGGAGCUGUGGUAGUUCGUCAUGUGUCUGUUGUUAAUCCAGAAGCAGCUCGUCGAGCUGCCUUAAAGAACACUGUAAUUCGACUGCGGGAGGGUUUCGGCAGGCGAGGUCCAGGAAGCUCGUCGAGUGUGUCGGAAGGCCGAACUUCUAGUGUUGUCCAUAGUAGCGUUGGAGCUGAGCAAAUUGGAGCUGCGAUAGAGCUGAUUAGUAGGGCAAAUGCAAGGCCUCAAGGUGAAACGUUAGGUGCUGGAUUUGUUGGACACAAUGGAGGAACUGGGCUUACUGACGCUUUUACAGCAGGUUUCGGCCUUCAAAGUGUGGAUUCUCAUGUGUCAACUGAAAGAGUUGGUAGCUCUCAGCAGCCCUCUUCACCAGAUCAUGACACUACAGACUCCAACCGCAUCUCUUGCGCGGGAUCUGUCGCUGCAAUUGAGCCAUUGAACGCUGUGGAACGGAGCAGCACAUUUGCAUCAUUGACCGAUCAACAGACGCUUGAUUUGAACCUAGCUUUGAUGUUUCAAGAGAGAAUGAAUGACCCUAGAAUUACCUCAAUUCUUCGUCAAAAUCCGGAGUUCGCCCGGGGUGGAGAACACGAGCUGAUGACAUUGCUUCAGGAUAAGGGACUUGAUCCAAACUUUGCAACCAUGUUGAAAGAGAAAGGUUUAGAUCCGACAAUCUUAGCCUUGCUACAACGGAGCAGCAUUGAUGCUGGCAGAGAUCCAGGGGGAAACGAAAACUCAACUGCAGGCUUGAAACAGUCGCAAUCACUCGCUCCAGAUGAUGCAGUUGGCUGGACAGGGGAAUCCCAUAAACAUGCUUGUGGGAAUUGGUUCAAGAGUGUUGAAGAUGUUGUACAGUUCUUUGUGGGGACACCAGAGCGAGCAUGGGUCUUCUUCAGUGUGAUCUUUGUUGUGGAAUGUGUUAUCGUCGCUGUAUUCCGUCCCACAACAGUGACUGUCAUCAACGGAAGACACGAGCAGGUUAGCAAUCAACAGCUAACUAUCUUGUAUACGGGUUAUCAAGAGAGGGAGGAUAUAUAUAAUACUGGUAAAGUGCACAAAGCUGGCUUAUUCACCGAAUCAUAUAGAGACCUUCAACUAUAGAUUGUGUCAGCAUUUUGAGGUAGCUAGUGAGUUAGAAAAUGUGCAGUUUCACAUUUCCACACGCUGUCCUACAUAUGAAUCCUUUCGUCUUCUUUUAAAUUUGGGGAUUCAUUGUGAUUUUUGUUUGUUUGUUUGUCUUGUUUUGUUUUGUAGAAGUCGAUUGUGCGCUCUACGUUUUUUCGCCGCUAUCUGUCAUUCCAGCUUGCGUUACUUGUUUGUAUAUUGAGAACCCGGCUUUAUUUUGCAGUUUGAAUUUGGCUUUUCGGCACUUCUGCUGUCUCCUGUCACAUGCUCAUUACUAGCUUUCCUACGGUCUCUGCAAGCAGAGAAUAUGGCCCUUACGAAAAAGGUCCGAAAGGUAUGUUUCGAUUCCUGGGAAGUGAGGAAUCAUUGUUACCCACCAUUCUAAUUCUUGAACUUGCCAGUUUUUUCGGUCUUAAGCAUUAGCGCUUCUAUUUGUAUUUGUAUGUAUAGAUGGCUCUUAUUGUGAUGGCACGAACACAUGAUAACCCUUUGAGACUUAAUUUUUCUAUUCUCUGACACUGAUUAUUGUAACUUUCAGUUUGGAUUGAUUGCAUGGCUUUUGAGUACUGGAGUGGGACUUCUCUUGGCUUUUCUCAGGUUUGAUCCUUGCUUUAAGAUAUUCAGUCCUGCAGUUAGAAUACUAUUAUGGGUGCUAAAGAGAUCUUGUGGGAGUGCAUAUCGGUUGUGCCUUUGUUAUUGUGCGUGCUGGUGUUAUUGUUUUAUUUUCACUAAUUUAUCUCUCCGACAAUUGUUCUAAGCAUAUGCUUUGUUUUCUCUGCUCUCUGACAUCGAGCAACAUCUUUUUUGUGGCUGUUUUUUUUUUUUUAUUGAUGCAACAGUAAGUCAUCGAUCAUCUUAGGGCUCGCUGUGACUGUCCCGUUAAUGUUGGCUGCCCUGUCUGUUGCACUGCCUAUUUGGGUGCACAAUGGGUAUAAUUUCUAUCAAGCUCCUGUCUUGGAGUAUCAUGCUACUCGAGCUUGGGAACAACAGGCAAGGCGUGGCAGAACGAAAGAGGUGAACUUCGCUUAUUUAUUUGUUUUGUUUUUCCUCAACCAAUUUCUCGUGCAUUUCAUUAUGUUGCUUAACUGAAAAUUUUGCUCAGAAAGGGUUUCCUUAGUGUUUAAAUAUCUUCAAGUAAUGUAAUUGAACUGUGUGUCGUAGUGUAGUAUCAGCUUUUUCACAGGUAGCAACCAAGUGCAUUUGCUAUAGUUUGUUGUUGAUUGAGACACAUAUGGUGUGGUGUGACAUCGUUGUAACAGAUCUGUUAUAGAUGCGCAGCGUCACAUUGUGAUGUUUGGUUUCGGUUAUUGAAAUGCCGUUCUGAAAAGUUGAAAUUUCACUCUCUUUUAGUGUUACAAGUUCAUUGUUUACUGGCUCAUUGGUGCGUUAGGUCUAGCAUGAUGACGCAAAAUUGCUGCUUUAUUUCUGCAGGAUAAUGUAAUGACACUUUGCAUCUUGGUCACUGUUAUCUGCAUAAUUGCUCUGGGGGUUAUCAUCUCAUUCAGCCCUCUCGAUGAUAUUAAAUAUCAUAGCUGGAGCAGUGUGACAAGAUAUUCCACCUCUCCUUACACGUCACCUUUAUACCUAGGGUGGGCAAUUGCCUCAGCAUUUGCCCUUGUGAUAACUGGAGUAUUACCAGCUAUCUCUUGGUUUGCGACUUAUCGUUUUUCUCUUUCAUCAGCUGUGUGUGUUGCCAUCUUCACCGGUACUUGUUAUACUGUAACCUUAACUUGACUUUGGCACGCUUUGCCUGUUCGGCUUGCUUAGCAACUUAAUAUUUGUGUUGUUUUGCUGUAUCCCUUUAAACACUAUAGAAGUAUAACUUACGACUCCAUUCGCUGGUGUCACACUAGAGGAAUGUGCACAUUUGAAUGGUCUCAUUAGAGGUGUAUGAAAAGUAUAAUGACUUAUGUAAUAAUAUUUUAUUUUCUUAUCAAAUGGCAACAUUUGCAGUGGUAUUGAUGACAUUCUGUGGAGGAUCUUACGUGGGCAUUGUUCGGAGCCGUAUCGGUAAAACACCGACAGAAGCCGAUUUUCUAGCUGCGUUGCUGCCGUUGGUCUGCAUACCAGCUGUUUUCUCUCUUGGUUGUGGCCUUUACAAGUGGUGAGUAGUUGUGUCAUUGAUCACGAGCGAAAGCUUUCGACUUUAUUGGUUGUUUGAAGAUUUGUUUGAAAAUAAUAUCGGAAUUUCCGCUGGAUACAAUGUCGUGACCUAAUCUUCUUCUGAUAGUUUUUUCACGUCUCUUUUGUAAUCAUUAGGAGAGACGAAGGUUGGCGGUUCUCGAAGGGUGCGUACGUUUUUGUUGGUCUUGGGCUCACGCUUCUGUUGGGUGCAAUCUCAGCGGUCAUUGCUACCAUUAAUCCAUGGAUGGUAAGGAAAAUUGGCUAUUGGUCGUGAAAGACUCACACCGUUAUUUCCUUCUGGAUCUGUCUUUUAAAAAAAAGGUAUAUAUUUAUUGAUUUAUUUUCAUCUUGUGCUAAUCUAGCUUUUGUGAUGACAGGUUGGCGCAGCUUUCCUGUUGGUUUUGGUGCUUGUCGUUUUGACGAUAGCUGUUAUACAUCAUUGGGCGUCGCAUAACUUUUACUUGACUCGCAUGGAGGUUCUUUUUGUCUGUCUGGCGGCGUUGGUACUGGCUCUAGCUGCUUUCCUUAUUGGACUCCUAGCGGGUGAGGACCGUCUUUGGUGAUGUUUUCAGCUGUUUUGUGUUAUGAUUGCUAGAUAUUUGUUUGCAAUAUUCUAGAAUUGCACUAUACACUCCAGCAAACAUAUAUUGUGGAUCGCUUUGAGCUACACUGGUGUUCUACCUGUAGUUAUUUCUGUUACUUUUUUGUUUGUUGCAGAUGAACCAUUCGUGGGAGCAUCAGUGGGAUAUUUCGCUUUCCUAGGAGUUCUGGCUGGAAGGUCUUUCACGGUAAUGUUUGCGUAGAAUGCUCCUAACUAUCACUUGGUUCUCGUCAGGUUCGAGAACAUCAAUAUGUCGCCAUAAUUUCUUGUUUGGUUUUUUGGUGGGGUGAGUAUAUUUUGCCGAAUUGACUGACUUGACAAGGUCAGUACAAUGAUUCUAUUUGUCAUCUAUAUUAACAUCGGCCCCAUGUUUAUUCUAUGUAACGGACAGGUUCUCUUGUCUCCCGCGGUGGUUGUAUACUCUCCUAGAGUUCUCCCCGUCUACGUCUACGAUGCCCAUGCAGACUCUGCUAAGAAUGUCAGGUAAGUUUCGAUGAUUUAUUGUUCUAUUCAUGUUCCAUUGGAGCAACCUCAUUUCUGAGAUCUUGAAGAGCAAUUGUGUACAUUUUUAGCUGUACGUAAAGAACUCUGCAGUGCAUAAGAGGAUCUGUUUUACAUAUGUUUUUCUGGAAAUUUUCUCAUGGAAACUUGUAUCACACCAGUGGCGCCUUCUUGGUUCUUUAUGGGAUAGCCCUGGCCACAGCGGGAUGGGGAGUGGUUGCGAGUUUGGAGAUCUAUCCUCCCUUUGCAGGAUCAGCGGUUUCAGCCAUCACCUUGGUCGUGGCAUAUGCUUUUGCUAUUUCCCGGCCACAGCUUACAUUAAAGGUGUACGCAUAUGACAUUAUUACUAUUGGUUUACCUCACAUUCAUAUUUGAUUUGAUAAUUGCAGCCGUGUUGAGUACAGUGAAAUGAUUCUUUUACUCAGUUUUCUUGCGCUUUUUUUGUUCUUGUAGAUGAUGGAAGAUGCUCUUCAGUUUUUGCGAAAGGAGACUAUUGCUCAAGCUAUUGCUCGCUCCUCAACUAAGGUAACUUAUGGGUGAUGCAUUAUUUCAUAGUAUUUCUAUCCUGCCAUAUUUUGGCUUCAGCUAUUUCGUUAGAUUAGGCGAGUUCAGCAAACGAGCAACUUUGAUCACUCAUGGCCUUAAACUCACAUUGUUGCUGUUUUCCAGACUAGGAAUGCCAUGUCGGGAACAUGUUCAGCUCCUCAACGAUCUGCAAGUUCAGCAGCUCUGCUUGUAGGUGAUGCUUCUGUUACCCGUGAUAAAGCUGGAAAUUAUGUUCUUCCUCGUGCUGAUGUAUUGAAGCUGCGGGAAUGGCUUCGCAACGAGGAACAUGCCGCGGGGCUUCGAUGGUGGCCUCCGUUCUCUGCCUUCGGCUCUCCCUUUGACUCUACAACGGAUACUAGGUUCAGAAGGAAGUUGUGCGCUCAUGCGCGAAUAUUGGCACUUGAGGAGGCUAUAGACACUGAGUGGGUGUACAUGUGGGAUAAGUUUGGUGGCUAUUUGCUUCUGGUUCUUGGUCAUGCUACACGAGCCGAAAGAGUACAGGUACGACCAAGUCCUGAAGCACUGAUUUCCAGAAAUUCUUUGGCAUGUAUUCCACCUUAUAGAGGAGAUUUUUUUCUUCUUGAUGAUUGAUGUGCGGAUAUUUUUUAAGGGUGGGAUUCUUUUGAAAUUUAGUCUUCUUCAACUUUAGCAAACUGGAUCUAUUCUCCAUUGAGUUCUAGAAUAAAUUUUGAGUUCUUUUUUUUGUUCUCAUAUUCCUGAGAAUAGUUCGCUGUUUUAGCACGGCUAUUCUUUUCUAUUUAAACAGUCUUUUUAUUUAUUUUCCUCCUUACAGGAUGAAGUGAGGCUACGGUUAUUUCUGGACAGCAUUGGCUUCUCGAAUCUCAGUGCAAAGAAAAUCAAGACAUGGACACCUGAAGAUAGGAAGCAGUUCGAGACAGUGCAAGAGAAGUAAGCGCGUGCUUUCCUUCUUUCUCUCUCUCUCUCUCUUUUUUUACUUUCUUCUUCUUCUUCUUCUUCUUCUUCUUCAUAAUCAUCAUUAUCAUCAUCAUCAUCAUCUUUUCCUCUGCAUGAUUAAUAUGAUCUUCAGUUUUGGGCAUAGAUGAAGUAUACCCUUUCCAAGUUAGUAGAUCAUAGAGUUAUCAUUCGGUGGUAUUAUUCCGAACUAGAGCACAUAUAACCGAUUCCUCUGAAGUGUUUGAUAUCGUAAAUUUAGUACAUUAAGUCGUAAUCUUAAGUCCACUAUUCCUGAUUUAUGGUGUCUAAAACUUUUAUUUAAAAUUAAUUAUAAGUGUUGGUGGGUUUCUCUGCACUUGCGUCUCCAAGUGUUUGGUCCUAAAGUUCUUUAUAAAUGACGUGUCUUGCAUCGGAACAAGAAUCUAGUGUACAGUCAUCGAUGUUGGACAACAUUUCAUAUAGUACACAAUGUUUUGAUGCCGAAUUUAGUUGCAUACUGUGUUGCAUUCCUACUGUACUAAGUAGAUGAUGGUGGGUGCAAUAGUCUCGUUUCAAGGUGCUUCAAAAGUGGAAUUUCUGAAUAUCUGAUUCAAGAAUGUGGCACAUGACUACGUAUGUUAUUCAGUUAUAUGCGGGAGAAGGAAACAGAAGAGGAGCUUUUGCAGCAAAGGCGUGAGGAGGAAGGAAAAGGUCGUGAGAGGCGCAGGGCUUUGCUCGAAAAGGAAGAACGACGACGUCACGAAAUUGAGGCGUCAGUUAUUUCAACUGUUCCUGAUGCAGGUACCAAAGAAGCAGCAGCGAUGGCAGCUGCUGUUCGUGCAGUUGGAAGAGAUAUUUUACUCGAUGAGAACUCUGCCAGUGAUCAGGUGUCGAGUUUGGCCCGGCGAAUAUUAGUUGCUCAAAGAGCCCAACGUGCGCAGCAGGUCUGAGAACGAAGGGCUUAUUUUCCGUGCGAUGCAGGACUGCUUUUUAAAAUUGUUUAAAUUUAUGAAUAGUUCUGCGUUAAAGCUGGAAAUUGUUUUACAAACCUUUUUAAUAUAUUGAUUGGCACAUUUCAGACCGGAGUCCAUGGAACUGUUUGUGUGAUGGACAAUGAGCCUCGUAAUAGUGGUCGCUGCUGUGGACUUAUUGACCCAAGUGUUUGCGGGAGCCAGAAAGUGAGCUUUUCUGCAGCAGUGAUGAUUCAACCAGAUUCUGGACCAGUCUGCAUAUUGGGCGUUGAAGCUCACAAUAAAAAAUGUUUGGAAUUUCUAGUCGCGGGUGCUGAGCAGGGUUUAGAAGCAGGGCAAGUUGGACUGCGGCUUGUAUCGAAAGGAGCUGGCCAGUCAACACAUAAUAGAGAGUGGUUUAUCGGACACACCUGUGUAGCUGAUGGAAGGUGAUUUGACUCGAACACAUUCUUAGCCGACAGAAAUACACAUUUUAAAGAUGUUGAUAUUUCUCUAUGUUUAAGACAAAUGCCUCAACCUCUCCACUUUUGAAUGCAGAUGGCACUCAGUUACUAUAACGGUUGAUGCUUCUACUGGCGAGGCUUCUGCUUUCAUAGACGGAGGUUUCGAUGGAGACAACAGAUGUGACUUGUUGCUGCUGGGAGAGGGUGGAGUAUGGGAAGAAGGGAUGGAAGUAUGGGUUGGCAUCAGGCCGCCUAUGGAUCUUGAUGCCUUUGGUCGUUCCGAUAGUGAAGGAGCGGAAUCCAAAAUGCAUGCCAUGGAUGUUUUCAUGUGGGGUCGCUGUUUAACCGAAGAUGAAAUUUUAAUGGUGCAUAAUUGUGCUAAUCUGGAGGAGCAGAAUGAGCUGGAUAUUAUGGAUGACUAUUGGCAGGGAUCUCCAAUGGAAACGCCAAUGAGAGUAAGUUGGGCAUAUCACGAAGCACAUGGUUUAAUUGAGUCAGUAAUUAGAUGUGGGGAAUUGUAAGCUUGGAGUCUGCAUGUUCUUUAGAUUGCAUGUCAAAACAACCCUCAUGCUUCUAAGUUACUUAUGUUUGAUGUAUUCAUCCGAAGUGGUCUGACCAUUUGGUUUUGUUGAAGGUGCUUAAGUUUUUAUAACUCAUACUGUGAUUCUCAUGUGUGUGUGUUUUGAUGUCCUGCCGGUCGUGUAUCUAUCUUGUUCUCUAGUUUGAGGAUUGGAGAUAUGAUCCGGAUCUCAGCUACGAGCGAGAUGAAAUUUUUUGGGAUGAACAACAAUCCUCAGGAGCAAAGAGGAAGGCAGCAGACAUCGAGAAUGUGGCGGUAGAUAUUGAAUAUUUAUCCAGGAAGAUCCGACGCCCCAAAAUUGAAACGAAAGAGGAGGUCUUGCAGCGCAUGCAGGCUGUUGAAUUGGCUAUUAAGGAGGCUUUGGUAGCAAGAGGCGAGAAGAGAUUUACCGACCAAGAGUUUCCGCCAUCAGAUCAGUCGCUUUUUGUUGAUACUGAUCACCCUGCUGCUAAGCUUCAGGUAAGCUAAUAUCCUUAACUCGUCUUUUAGUGUCCAGGAAUAUUUAGAUGUAAUACAUACAGGCUAUUUUGGUGUGGUGACUGCCAAUUAAAAGUGCAUUUUUAUGUUUGCCAGGUUGUUAACAAGUGGUCGCGCCCAGAAGAGGUUUUGCGCGAACAAGGGCAAGAUUCUCGGCCGUGCCUGUUUGCAGGCACUGCCAACCCUUCAGACGUCUGCCAGGUUCGAAGUGAACUUUAUUUGUCUCCUUCAAGUUUUACUCAACCCGUUCAUUGAUUCAUUCAUGAACACCAUUUGAGCGCUUUCGUGUUAAGCUGCAUGUAGAUAGAAUACUUAAACGAGCACCAUUUUCUGAGUCCUUCACCAGGGCUACAUACGCGGUCAUUGAAGCAACUUGGAAACAUUUUCGGUCAUAUCAAGCUAACAGCUUUUUAAUAGUAAUAGUAGUAACACUUUCGCCAAAUUCUUAGGGGCAUAGCACGUUAUAGGGUAAGAAUUAUGUCUAAUCGCAGACACAGAGAAUCUUUACCCACAUCUCAUGGAAACAAAGCAUAUUAAAAAUUGCAGUAAAGGAAGGUUGAGCACCUUCGAAUCAGCUCCUGUUUAUCUUCGUUUACGUAUCAGUUUGUAGUCCAUUAGUUUUCCUUUUUACGAACAUGCCCUUCUAGAAAGAAGUAAAAAGUUGAACUUAACGGUUCUAAUUAAGCUCUAAUAGUAUAUAUCGGAUUUAUAUAUGGAAGCCCAUGUCAGUUUCUGGGAAGCUCAAUGUCUAACAUUGUUCUGUAACCUAUACUUGUUAUGCAGGGCCACCUAGGAGAUUGCUGGUUUUUGAGUGCAGUUGCUGUGUUAACCGAGGCAUCACGGAUAUCUGAUGUCAUGAUUACCCCCGAAUUCAACGAAGAGGGGAUCUAUACAGUUAGGUUUUGUAUUCAGGUAUGAGGAUGAAGAUCAUAAUGAUGUUUCCGUACUUGUUGUAUUUUCAUAUUUGAUAUGGUUACUUUUGAGUACUCUUUCAUUCUACUCUUUUCAGUUUCCUCCAAAUAUGUUUUCAACCAUUGUAUUUAAUGCAUGCAGGGUGAGUGGGUGCCUGUGGUCGUUGACGACUGGAUACCUUGCGAGGCCAGGGGAAAACCGGCCUUCGCCACUAGCAGAAAAGGAAAUGAACUUUGGGUGUCUAUUUUGGAGAAAGCGUAUGCGAAGUUACACGGGUCUUACGAGGCCUUGGAAGGUGGUCAGGUCCACGAUGCGCUUGUCGACCUGACGGGAGGUGCUGGAGAGGAGAUUGAUCUAACAAAUGAAGUUGCGCAGUUGGAUCUUGCUAGUGGCCAUCUAUGGUCCCAGUUGCAACGCUUUAAGCAAGAAGGAUUUCUUCUCGGAGCAGGCAGCCCAUCGGGUUCUGAUGUUCAUGUUUCAUCUAGUGGAAUUGUACAAAAUCAUGCAUAUUCUCUUUUACAGGUGAGCACGAUCUGUCCUUUCCAAUUCCAAACUACUACCUUGGUUAUUUUUGUCAGGUUUUAUUCACUUCAAAUUUUUGUAAAUACAGUUAUUAUUACAGCAUGCUUCAACAUUUCAUAUUACGAUUGAAGUACGGCAAUGUUUCUAAACGAUCGAUCAUAUAAAUGUAUCAAUGUAUCAGGUACGAGAGGUCGACGGUCACAAGCUCGUGCAGAUCCGCAACCCAUGGGCUAAUGAAGUUGAAUGGAAUGGCCCGUGGUCGGAUUUUUCCCCAGAGUGGACAGAUAGAAUGAAACACAAGCUCAAGUAUUCCCCUCAGGUAUUUGGAAUUUAGUUCUGUGUUUUACAGUUCUGAUCCCUUUCCAUUGGUAGGAUAUGGCUCUUUCGUUGUGCAACUGAUGGAUAGUGUCCCACUUUGUAGCCUUUCUUUUGCUGCAAAGGGGUCUCAGCGUGUGCCACUCGCGUGUUGCCUUAAGCACCUUUCAUAUUUUCCAUCGAAGGAUCUCAAGUAUCUCAAUGUGUUUCUAGGCUGCAAAUGGAGUAUUCUGGAUGUCAUGGCAAGAUUUCCAGCUUCAUUUUCGUUCUCUAUACGUGUGUCGAAUUUAUCCACCUGAGAUGAAGUAUUCAGUUCGGGGUCAGUGGCGUGGACCAACUGCUGGUGGAUGCCAGGAUUACGAAACUUGGCAUUUAAAUCCUCAAUUUCAUUUGAAAGCCGUGGGUAGUGAUGCCCGAGAACCCAUUCAUGUCUUCGCAACACUUACUCAGGUUUGCAAUGUUCACUUCUUCAAUAGUGGGUGGCCUCAACAAGUAGAUGAGAUGCAUUUGUUAAUUGAUUAGUUUUAUUUAUUUAUUUAUUUAUUUUUAUCAUACCCUGGAGUUUAGUUGUGUGCCUCUCAUGAAGAUAUGAUUUGCUGAACAGGGUGUGCAGUCCACAUCUCGAUCUACAGCCAGCUUUGGGAAUUACCAAUUAGUUGGAGAUGCACCUCGAUUUUAUAUCGGCAUGCGUGUCAUAAAAACCGGUGGUAGGCGAUCUGGAAAGAAUAUCUUUAUGCAUGAAGCAGUGAAUGGAACAGAUUAUGUGAAUGCAAGAGAAAUAUCUUGCGAAAUGGUACUUGAUCCUGAUCCUAAAGGUUACACGAUUGUUCCAACCACACAUGCGCCGGGUGAAGAAUGCCAGUUCUUGCUCUCAGUUUUCACGAAGGCUUCUAUCAUCUUGGAACCGCUUUAGAUGAUGGAGGGAUUCUAUUUAAUACGGGCUCAGCAGCAGACUCCUGACGGUCCUGUCAUUUCUCAAAUCAGGUAUUGUCAAGAUGUUCACGUUUGUAGAAGCAAUCAUCUGCUGCACGUGGCCUUAAGUAGUUUCAUUCCGUUACAAGACGCAGUGCUUUUAUGUACCAAAUUACAAAUAUUUUUCUGUACAAUUGUACAGUAGUUAACUUCAGCAUUUUGUAAUACGAAACGUGAAGGAGGCCUGACAAAGUUUGUGGCUACUGGUUAAGUGACCGCAUUCCUUGCAAUGACUACAGAUUAGCUUGCAAUGGACCCUUUUUGUGGUACCCAGUUCGAUUUCUGCGACAUGCUUCUUCCUUACGCGCCUCCUGACAUGUAUACAUAGUCGAGGCUGAAGGUAUACAGACGACCACCUCAGGAUCCCUAGCCAUGGAAUUCUUUUCACUUAGUGGUGUUUUCAAUUGUAUGUUCAGUAUGUUCCUCCAAGUGAAAUCAUAUCCCUUUUUGCUGUGCAGUUUUCAUUGCAGCUCAAUCAUUUCAUGGUCACCUUUUUAACAAAUUGCUGGGUGACUAUUUUAAAAUUAUGAUUCUCUGCACAUGUACCUGAAAUGUUCUAUAUUUUAUAAUUCAGGCCGUAGCUUCUAGCAGCAUGCUGGAGUCUUUCCGCUGCAAUUCCUGGAAAGGAGUACAACUUGUACUUCUUGCGUGAAGAAAUGAAGUGCAACUUGUACUCCUUGUAUGAUGGCUUGGAUCAGAACUUUCGGUUCCCAAAAUAAAGAGUCUUAUAAUGCGCUAGCUUUCCAUUAUUGCUCCUAUCAAUGUUGUGACUUAUCAGAAGAAAUUAUGAGUGUUUAUUUUGCGCAAAAUGCGUCAACAAGGCUUGCAUAUGUGAACGCAUAUUGAACAUAAAUUUUCCAUUUUUGAUGUAAAGAAUGUUUGUAUUAGAAAAACCAUAAAAAAAUAACGCAUCACUGCUUUCUACUAUUUAUUCUUCCCGUCUCUUUCAGUUUAAAAGGUCUAAAGCACUAUCUUUUAUAAAGUCCCGAACAAAUGAAGAAUGAAAAGCCCAGCUUAUGUAUCGUUAUGUGCAAACUAAACGAUCUGAAGCUCAAAUUGUUUGAUAGCACUGAGUGGUAGUCGUCUUUAAUGGAUUACAAUUAUUUUAAACUAGGUUAUUUUCAACGCAAAAACAUACACCUACCAUUUUUGAGUACGAUAUGAUCUUGUGUAUAGCUUAAAACCAAAUAAAAAUCCUACAAAUACAUGUGUAAAACAAAUUGAUUGAAGCAAUGAAAAAAAAAAUAUAUAUAUAUAUAUAUAUAAAUUUAAAUCUAUUUGAAUUGUCUAAAAAAUAACUAUGUUGCUUCUCAACAAAUUCUAUUAUCUUAUGUUUAAAAUAAUAAGUUAUAAACAAUCCUACUAAAGAUUUGUUGGUCAAAUUUGUGCCAAAAAUAUGUCCAUAUUGCUCAUAGAUGAUUUAAUUCAUUUUAGUAUUACUAUGAUAUAUUUUUUUAAGAAGUAUGAUAGUUCUAAAUAAAAUUAGUACAAAUUUUGAUUAAAUAUAUAGUUUUGAUUGAACUACUGCACAAAAAAUUUAGAAAGUAAUAAUAAUUAUAAUAAUAAACAACAAUAACAACAACAUUUAGUUAUUUUAUUCUAUUUUAUAUUAUAACUAUGUUAAAGUUGUUUUUAUUCUUAAACAAUAAAACUCUGAAUAUUAUAUAGAAAAAACCAUAAGAGAUAAUUAAAGACUAAAAUUAAUAUACAAUAAUAAUAUCUACUAUUUGAAUGUCUUAAAUCCUAAUUUUUUGCAAUUAACAAUCUAUUUUAUUUAUUCACAAUUAAGAUAUGAAAAUUUCUAAUAAAGAGUAUGAAGAGGAGCAUGGCUUUUUAGAAAGAAAAAUAUUCAAAGAUUGCUAGAAACCUCAUGUGGAUUAAAAAAACAACCAAAGAAAAUAAAAAAGAAUCAAAUUAAUUUUUUAACAAAAUAAUAAGUCUUGUUUUUUUAAAAAUGUUUUUGAAAGUUGUUGAUUAAAAACUUUCUGUUCAUUGAUUUUUAAAAAGUGACAAAGUGUCCAAAGAAUAUGUCACUAAAUGUCUAAUACAAUUGUACAAAGUUAAUUCAAAUGUACUUGUAGAAAAUAUUAUUUUGACCCAUUCUUUCUCAAAAGCCAUGCUCUCCAACAAAUUAUUAACAUAGAAGCUGAAUGUUAAAUAUUUCUACUUUGGUAAGUUGUGGUUAUGAUUUAUAUACUAUCUAUUUAUUUAUUGAAAAUAUAGCACAACUCGUUUAUCAACCAUUUAUAACUACAUCUUGAGAGAUUCCAAGGGUGGCAAGAUUAGUGCCUUCAAUCACAAUGUAAACAAUCAGGGUACUUAUAAACAAUAUUGUGUUUUAAUAAUCAGUCACGAGCAUACAAGACUUUCGUGCCAAAAAGUCUGCGCGAUGCCCUUCACCAGCUUUCAGCCAACAUAUAUUUGCGGGCAUUGAUGCAGUUUGUGGGCACCGCUCGCUUGAAUCAAGUCGGGGAGGCUCUGGAAGCGUGCAAGGAUACUGCGAUUUGGAACCUGAUAUCGUGCACUGAAGGAAUUGUCUGGGGGAAGGAGUGCCCAAGUCAAAUUGUGGGCCAUUCCUGCCAACAGAUUGACCAUGCGUUGGUCGGCACUAGCUCGCCGCUGCAGUGCUUGAAUCUGCUCUUCCUCCACGAGGGUCUCCCGCUCAGAAUCGUCCUAGAAUGCAAUUUGUGAGGGCGAGUUGGACUUGUGUCGGCGAAGAAGAGAGACGCUUUUGGUCUCCACUGGUGUGUAGAUUAAGACCGACUUCAUAGUAACGCUACUGUGAGUGGCGUCUGCAUCUGCGCAACACACCUAUAAGGACAGGGAAUUGUUUCCAUUCUCUGGCGUCUCCGAAAUCGAGGACGGAGUUGCAAUCGUGAUGGCGAAGACAACCAGGCCCAACAUAACGGAAGCAUCGGAGGAGAGAGUCUUGUGCUGUGAAUGGGUAGAAUCUUGUGCACAUGCAGAGUGGGAUUUCAAAGUGGGUCUUUUGUCUUGAAAGACAAUAAAAGUUUUGGUAGAAGGUGAAAGCCGCGUUGAAAUGUUCCCCUUUAUUCAUUUCAGAUCAUAUCUUUUUUGUUAUGGUCAUUCAUGAAACAAUAUCAUAUUUAUAUUAGAUUUAUUGGUGAAGAAUUAAAAAAAAAGGAUAUUUGUGGAGUGAGGAAGGAUACCCUUUUGCAUACCUUGUACCAAUGAAUGAAUGAAUAAACAAAGGGCACAAAUAAAUAAAUAAAUAAUUGUGUUUUUCUUUUAUCAUGUAAAGUAUUGAAUUCUAUUCAGUCACAAAAUCUUCGAAGCAAGGGAUUGAUUACAAUUCGAAUGUUGUUGAAGCUGUUAACACUGUGAGUUUUACUUGUUUCUUACAUAAAGUGAAAAAAGACCUAAUGCCUACACUUUUUCAUACCAACAAUUACUAUUUACAAAAUUUGAUUAAAUUAUCUCAGAAUAGUAAUUUUUUCAAAGAAUUUUAUACGUGUUUUUAAUUUUUUUUUGAGUGAUUAGAAAGCUUAGCUAAAAACCAUAACAACUUGGCAGAGACUUUGAUACCAAUUUUGAAUGCAAAAAAAGUUCCAGAUUUUAAAAAUUCUAUUGUGUACAACACUUAAAAAAGCAAAGUCUAAUUUAUUUAUUGAAUUAAACUUUUUAAUGUUUGGAAAUAAAUAAUAAUUUUUAAAUUAAAAAUAUAUUAAAAUAUAAUUAAUGUCAAUAUUAUUAGAAUUUUUGUAUUUGAAGAACCUUCUAACUUCAAAAAAAUAAAUUACACCUCACAAUGUUGCUUAGGAUAAUAUAUAUAUGAGAAUGGCAAAUAAACCCAAGUUUUUACUAAAUCAACCCACCCAUCUUAACCAUCAUGAAAUGAAAUGAGAAAAAAUAAAAAAAUAAAAAAAUAAAAUCUAGAUUCAUUUCUCCACUAUUGGAUCUGCAACCAAUAAAAAACCAACCAUAUUCAUCACGAUUAAUAUAUUCUUGAUCAAAAUAGGUUCUAUAUAUGUAUAUAUUAUCAUCAUUUUUUUUAGCAAAGAAGAAUUGAAAUUAUUUUCAUUUAUUAUUUUAAAAAAUAUUAUUAAAUUAAAGUGUCCCAUAAAUUAUAAAAUUUAAAAGUUAGUAGAUGCAAUUGCUUUAAGGAUUGACACAACACACAAGACAAAUGAUGUUUUGAUAUCGUCAUAUAAGAAUGCAUACAUACAUACAUACGUUUAUGUAAAUUAUUUUCCUGUAAUUAGUUAGUUAGUGCCCAGCCAGCCAGAUCACAACCAAAGGGAAGUUGGGGGCGGAGGGAGCAUGUGACUAAACACAAACAAUCAAACAAACCAUCCAUCCAUCCAUAAAAUCAUCCAUCCCAGCUGGAGGAGGGAAUCGGGGCCAGCCAUUGGUUGGAAAUGCACCCCCAUCCCCCGAAUAGUCAACUUUGACUUUCGCACUCACACCUUUUCAACGGGGCUCCAGGUUGGCACAGGGGCUAGGCCGGGCACCCUUGGAAUCACCAGGUAGCCGGAGAUAUCGAGAGGGGGGGGUAGCCAGUAAGUGAGAAAUGCAGACAGAUGGACAUGAAGAGAAAGGAGAUAGUCAGACAGAGACACACACACACACACAGAGCGAGCAAGCGAGAGACACACAAACUCACACACUCACACACACACACACACAUAGGGAUCGGGAUCGAGGAAGAGGUGUUGUUGUUGGUGUUUUCACGGUGGGGGGAGGGGCAGAGGGAGAGGAAGCGAGAGCUGAGUCAGGGCAGGGCAGGGGGGGGGAGGGCGGGUGGGUCUGUCAAGUUUGACCAGGCGUGUGCCCGUCUGCCAGCUAGAUACAUACAUAGCUAGCUAGCUACAUAUAUACACACACAAACCAAACCUAACAAACAAACGGAGGGAGGGGGCCGAGUUAGUUCCGGGAACACUGUGGCCAGGGAAAGGAAAUCCCGGGGGGGGGGGGGGCAAGAGAGAGAGACCCCCCAUAUGUUGUGAGGGCUGACUGUCUGACCAACUGACGGACUGACUAGAGUGUGCUGGGUGAAAGAGGGGAGGGGGGAGGGCAGAAGAAGUGAAGACGGCGACCACGACGACCACGACCACGACCACGUAGGGUUGCGUUGCGUUGCGUUGAGUUGAGUUGCGUGUAUGUGGGGAUCCGGUAGGUGGGUGGGGAAGGAGGGUUUGUGGGAUUGGUGAGUAGGUUUGCAAAAUUGAGGGCGGAGGGUUCCGGAAGUUCAGUGGAGGAGGAUAUGCGCGUGUUUUAGGUUUGUUCCUGGGUUUGCCACAUAGCUUCAGCAGUUUCUUGUGCAUCUCGUCAGGAGUCUUAGUAACUAUUUUCUAGUGCUGAUAACUGGGUCUGAUUCGGUGUUUCGAAUUUGUGAAUGGAUAUGUCUGUCUUAUUUCAUUUCAUUUCUUUUCCUUAAAAGUAUUUUGGUAUCCUGAUUUGCUGGUGUGUUUCUGUACUCUCUAAGCGGUCGCACUUUGGUUUGUACAAGUCUUCAGAUAUCUGGAGCAUUUUAAGCCUUGCCCAGGGGAAUUGUAGGGCAUGGUGUGGACAAUUAGUUUCGAUGUAUUCCCUUCUUGUCAAGACAUUAUACAUGGAUUACCGCAUUGAGCCGGUCUGAUUCGGACACUGUUCUGAUAUGAUGCUGAAGAAACCUACAUCAAAGGAUUAAAGUGUGUUGUUUCUUCCCGUAUCAGUUGGCGUGCUAGUAUUUUCUGUUCGAAGUCCAUGCCGCGACUGGAGGGUACUAAUUGAACAGAAGUCAUUAUGGCUGUGUUUGGCAUGAAGCUCGUAUGUGCAUUUGUCAUGUUAGAUAUCAUGACAAAGGUAUGUCAUGCGGCAAGCCCAACUGGAUUUUGCAAUUCUACAUGUGGUAGAAUUACUCUCAAGUAUCCAUUCCGCUUGAUGGAUAAUGAAAAUCCCGCGAAGUGCUAUUCGAAUUACCCACAACUUAAGUUCCUGUGCCCAGACGAGACCUUGCGCCUUCACUUUACUUCAAUGCCUGAGUAUUCCGAAAAUGAAUACUUGGUUUUGGAUAUAAAUUAUGAGAACUUGACUCUUUCCAUAGUACCUUCGAAUGGUGCAUGCUACCUAUUUAACACAAGCAGUUUUGGAGGUAUGAAUAUCAAAAAUACCUCCAUGCUGUAUCUGAAUUGCCGAACCGAAAUUGGUGGGUCAUGUGAACCAGCAAACAAGACAAGCAGUACCUGUGGAAUCAAUCCGGCCGGUAACACACAACCAAGUACUUGGUUUUCUUGUCCAGUGAAGCUUCAGCAGGACAGUGAUCAGAAAUACAAGGAGUGCUUCCUUACCGACCCAUUGCAGCUUCAGUUCACAAAUGAUAAUCGUACUAGUACGUUCACUAAAUCUGGAGCUUCUUUCUGUUUUUGAAUAUUAUUUCGAAUUGCUCUCAUUUUCGACUUUCUUUCUUUCUUUCUUUCUUUCUUUCGCUGAGAAGAAUUUAGAGAGCAUGUGCGCUGACAAUUUUAGCGAUUUCAAGUUGUUGCAAUUGAUACCGUUUUGUUGAAUCAUAUUUUGAAGUGCGUGCAAAUAUGCUUUUGCUUUGACUUCAAACGUCAGAACAAAAUAAUGACUGAAGUAUUUGAGAAGACUGGCUUGUUACUGUGCUUUUAAUGUCCUGCUCUCGCUAGAUGGAAUUUGUGUCCUCAUGACAAUCGUAACUAGGAAUAAAAGAAAAUUAUAUCUACUUUUUCUUAAGGCCAUUAUCCAUGAUGCUGCACUGUAGGUUGAGGGAAUAGCGGUUCAUUGCUUCUUGGUCUUUAAUAUAUGAGUAGCAUAGGCUCUUGAUUAAUGAUUUUUACUGCAGUGGAUAUUAUUCUGGUUCAAUCACAAUCAUCUCCUUGUGAUUGACCAGUUCAGCGUUACUUUUAGUAGGGGUGUUGAAGCCUAUCCGGCCGAGAUUGGUAACAUGGAGCAGCAUGCAUGCUUCUGUUUUGUUUGUGAAUAUGUCUGCGUACAUUCUACUUAUUGUACUUAAGUGUGCGCAAGUCCAUUGGUGUAAUAGAGACCUCUGCUGGCGGCUGACCGUGAUUCUUGGUUUCAUCAAUAACCGACUCAAGGACCCUGUCUUAUUGUUGCUCUGCAGGUAUUCCAGUCCCCUCACCAAGUCCGUCACCCUCGAAUACACCUCCUGCUGCAAAUUCAAACAAAUCGAAUCUGAACGUGUUUAUCAUUCUAGGUGAGUGUUCGACGAAAACGCUCACACUUAGGAUCACGCCAAAUGUGGAUAGUCUUGGCGGGUCUGGGUGGCAAGUUCAGAUUGGCUUGUCACGGAAGUUGUCCUGAAGCACGAUUUUGACGGUCAAGAUUAUUAACGUCGUUUUUAUGGAAUCUUAGAUGACCUGAGGUCUGGUUGCCUGACGGUUGAAUUGAUCGCGGCUCAAAGAAAGUUUAAGCAUUAUUUUUUAUAUUAACUGCUCUUUAGGUUUAGAACUACCAUGUUUUUUUUGUUUGUUUGUUUAAUUCUAAUCAUUUAUUAAGAUGUUAAUUUUGGGUGAGAGAUUGGCAGGUGUUGUGGGUGGUUUUUUGGCAGCAGUUCUGAUCUUCCUAUGCGCCCUGCUGUAUUGUUGCCGACGGUCACGGCCCGGCCCGAGUGAUUUGGUGAAGUUUGAUAGCGGUGACAAGAAAGCUUUUGAAAAGAUUCGCUCAGGUGGUUCAGGUCAUAUCCCACAACUUUUCACCUACAAAGAGCUUGAUCAUGCCACGCAAAAUUUCAGUGCGAAUCAUCAGCUAGGGGAAGGAGGUUUUGGAACGGUGUAUAAAGGGAAACUUUCGGAUGGACGACUGGUUGCUGUGAAGAAGCUCAAUCAAGGUGGAAGUCAAGGCAUACAACAAUUUCACAAUGAAGUUGAGGUUCUCUCCAAAGUGCGUCAUCCGCACUUGGUCCAGUUACUUGGUUGGUGCAGGGAGCGACCCCUUCUUGUCUAUGAGUAUCUACCAAACGGGUCAAUCUCGUAUCAUCUCCACGGAGGAAAUAACGGACACCUCCCUUGGGAGACGAGGUUAGGCAUUGCAAUACAGACAGCAGAAGCACUUUCUUAUCUUCACUUUGUGGUGAGCCCACCAAUUUUUCAUAGAGAUGUGAAGACAACUAAUAUCCUCCUUGAUGAGGGCUUCAAAGUUAAAGUUGCUGAUUUUGGUCUUUCGAGGUUGGUGGUGAACCUGGAAAAUACCCACAUCUCAACGGCACCGCAAGGGACCCCUGGUUACCUUGACCCAGAUUAUCAUGAAUCUUAUCAUCUCUCUGAUAAGAGUGAUGUUUACAGUUUUGGGGUGGUGUUGAUGGAGCUUGUGACCGCUAAGAAAGCAGUGGAUAUGGCACGGGAGCGGAAGGAAAUCAAUUUAGCUUCACUGGCUGUGGCUAAAAUCCACUCUGGAUGUUUACAUGAGAUCCUCGAUCCAAAUUUGACUGUUCAGUUCCAUGACAAUCCUAUGAUGCAAGUUAUGGUGGAGCAAGUUGCAGAGCUGGCAUUCCGUUGUCUAGCCUCUGAAAAAGACGACCGACCUUCGAUGAAAGAAGUGCUAGCAGAGUUAUUGCGAAUACAUAUUGUUGGUAUUGAUUUCCAUCCUUCAGUAAAGAAGUUGGAGAUGGACCCGUCCUAUCAUAAUGAAGACUCUGCAAAGCCUCUUGUAAAGAAAGACGGUGGGUGGCGAGCAUCUCCUACGUCUGUGCAAGAUGUGUGGGUGAGCAACACAACCUCACCUGCCGACAGUCUGGCAGAAAUUGCUUAGGUAGAAACUAGCUGGAGUGAAGUAUGUAAAUAGAUUGUCAUAAGAUGCUAUAUGAACUGGUAUAGAAAUUUGUAACUGCUUUGGCUUCCUGCAUAUAUUCCUUAUUCAAAUUGGUGAGCAUUUUGUAUUUGUGAAGAGAAUAUUGUUGUGUAUUCUAAAUCUUUGUAACAAUCGACAAAAAAAUUAAACUUACGGGAAAGCUGCAUGAUGCACAGUCAUGUCCAUUGGCAUAUUUGCAACUUAACAACUGUUGUACCUUCUCCACAGUGCAGUACCACAUUUCCGAGGCGCAAUUAUUAGGUGGAGUACGUUCAUAUAAUUCGGAGCGUUCACAUUCUGUAUCAAUUACUUUCUAGAGCGUUCAUGAAAAAUCCGAUUUAGGAGAAAAAGAAAAUAGAUAAUAUGAUGAAAACCGCGUUUGCACAUAGAGUGUAUAUUUGCAUGCAGACGUAUUCGGUAUUUAGAGGUAAUUGUUAUAUCAUAAUGCAUUUUCGAGCAGCUGGUGUUAAGAGAAUGUUGUAAUGAAAAUAAGCCGGCUGCCGAUUGCUACACAGGUAUAUAUUCGUAUAAAGUAUUAUCCCAUGUAUUGGUCAUAUGAUCAUGGAAGAGAAAAUUUGAGUGUCAUAAAUUCCGUUCAAGAUAUUUGUGAUGAAUUUUCACAAGCACAGGGUGCAUAAAGGUUUUCAUGUAUUUGUACAGUGGAUCUCACUAAUCACUAUCCAGGUGGUUUGAGAUAUUGUUCGAAUACGAUCUAAUUGUGACAAGCAACUAGUACAUACAAGUAAAUCAUCUAACAAUACGAAACACGGGCAUUGAAUGUCAGAGCUUACGCAAAGUUAAAAGCCAAGAACGAACCGUUGACAAGGAUGACACGAUAGAGAGCGACUGGUCCAGUCCGAAUCUCACCGUGCACCACAACUCAGAAACUCUGAUGGAAGCAAAUGUUCUAAAAUCUGGAAAACAUUCAAGUUAGGACAAAAAUGACUAAGAGAAGAGAGAAACUUGUGAUUUGAAGCUUUGAGCGAAAAUAAGUAACACUUGAGCCUCCGGAAAAGAAUCGGCCCACAGAAUGAAAGCCAUUUCAGGCUGUCUUCUCAAACCAGUUAUUAAGUAGCCGGCUCCCAACCCGCGGGUGCCGCAGCUACAUCGGCAGGUGCCGCAGGAUCCCAACCCGCCGGGGCAACUGGGGCAGCACCAGCACCAGCGCCAGCUCCCAUGUCCCAACCAGCCGGGGCACCUCCAGGCGCCGCAGCACCUGCAUCCGCUUCCCAUUGCCCAGCCUCCGCGGCAUCUGGGCCCCACUGUGCAUCACCUCCAAUUCCAAUCGCUGGCGCAGCGUACUCUACCGCCGCGAACUCCACUGCUGCUCCCUCCUCGUCCUCGCGGUCCUUGCCUUCGUCGGGCUCCCUGUAAAAGAACAGGUCCACCUGCACCAUCCGUCCACAAGCGGACGGUCAGCCUCCGCAACCCCGCCCCAUCCCCCAGGCAUCACAUUCAAGCACCACAGCUUCCCCCACACCCACAUUCAACUUCAAACCGCACUCCCUGUCGCACUUACUCCCGCACU
rnacentral:lncRNA from 1 species